UCGUAUAACGGAGAUGCCCCCAGGGCUGUCGCUGACCUUCACAGGUCGUGCACGCCCAAAGGUGCUCUCUCACAUCCAUCUCACCCCUUUGUGCAUCACCGCGUGUGCUUCCCUGUUGGGCUUGUUCCGAGCGGGGGGGUUCACGUUUUUAUAUGAACACCAAUUUUUAAAAAGCAUGUAUAGAAUGCCUUACUUUUUGCAAUUAUGUGCAAUCAAUA
rnacentral:misc_RNA from 1 species